rnacentral:rRNA from 1 species
GACGAACGCUGGCGGCGUGCUUAACACAUGCAAGUCGAACGGACGAGUGAGAUAAGUUUACUUAACUCACAAGUUAGUGGCGGACGGGUGAGUAACACGUGGAUAAUCUACCUGCAACACCGGGAUAACGCUGUGAAAACGGUGCUAAUACCGGAUACGUUCCCUUGUGCGCAUGUAUGAGGGAAGAAAGCUCAGGCGGUUGCAGAUGAGUCCGCGGCUGAUUAGCUAGUUGGUGAGGUAAAGGCUCACCAAGGCGAUGAUCAGUAGCCGGCCUGAGAGGGUGAACGGCCACACUGGGACUGAGACACGGCCCAGACUCCUACGGGAGGCAGCAGUGGGGAAUCUUCCGCAAUGGGCGCAAGCCUGACGGAGCAACGCCGCGUGGGUGAAGAAGGCCUUCGGGUUGUAAAGCCCUGUCUUAUGGGAAGAAGUCAGUGGCGGUACCAUAGGAGGAAGCCACGGCUAACUACGUG